rnacentral:lncRNA from 1 species
GGGCUUUUUGGUAAAUUCCCUUUUCUCAUAAUGUCCCAUUUUUAUAACUCUAGAACAUUCCAUCUUUCUUUAUUCUCAUCCUCCCAAUAUUUUAUUUUUGUAAAUUUUUCAUCCACAAUAUUCUAUUUUCGUCCAUACCACUAUCUACUUUGCUUCUAUUUUUCAAGUAAUAUAGCUAAUCUAUACAUAUAAUUUUUAAAUACAAAUCAUCCUUUUCCUCUUAAUAUUGCGGUGCUUUGACGUUUAUUUUAAAGCGUUGCUGACAUCGAUGAUGGCAAAAAUCUCAAGAACGAAUCGGCGAAGAAUCCAUCCCCUUAUUUCUAGAUGCAUAAAUGUUGCAUCAUUACUUUUGGCUUGAUCUCUGUUAAGAUGAUGCACAGAUCGUUGAAUUCGCCCUGACGAAAGGUGCCAGCCGGCAUAAACUUAUCUCCUACACGAUUACCAAAAAUUUUGUAAAAA